UGGGGAAUAUUGGGCAAUGGGCGCAAGCCUGACCCAGCAACGCCGCGUGAGGGAAGAAGGCUUUCGGGUUGUAAACCUCUGUCCUUGGUGACGAAAAAAAUGACGGUAGCCAAGGAGGAAGCCCCGGCUAACUACGUGCCAGCAGCCGCGGUAAUACGUAGGGGGCGCGCGUUGUCCGGAAUUACUGGGCGUAAAGGGUGCGUAGGUGGCCUUUUAAGGUGGAUGUGAAAUACCCGGGCUUAACUUGGGGGUUGCAUCGAAUACUGGAGGGCUAGAGUGCAGGAGAGGAAAGCGGAAUUCCUAGUGUAGCGGUGAAAUGCGUAGAUAUUAGGAGGAACACCAGUGGCGAAGGCGGCUUUCUGGACUGUAACUGACACUGAGGCACGAAAGCGUGGGGAGCAAACA
rnacentral:rRNA from 1 species